rnacentral:tRNA from 2 species
UGUUAAAUAGUUUAUUAGAAUAGGGGUUUUGUAAACUUCAGGUGUGUAAUUUCACUUUAACAA